ACUGUUUCUUGUACUAUAUCCAACUAGCUUGUUUAGCAGAUAAACCCAAGUCAAACUCUGUAACUGAGGACAACUGCUACAAGCUAACAUUGUGAGCACUAUUUCAAAUAACAGUACCAAGCCAAAACUGUAUCAUUGUUGCAAAUACUGUGGACUUUUCAUUUUUUCCAGUGACUCUUUCAAAUAUAUACUAAUAUAAUUUUAUAUAUGUAUGAAAAUUAGAUCAUA